rnacentral:misc_RNA from 1 species
CCGCCGAGACCACACGCGCACCGCGUGCUGACAAGACCGCUCUUCUUCCUACACAUCGAGUUGCGCAGCGGACGCGUGUUCUCUCUCUUCGUUUCUCGUUUCGCCGCCGUUGCCCGCCUUAAAAAAGACCUGCUCGAGAAGCCGACGUUGGCGAUACACUUGGAUCCUCAUGAUAUGCGCCGCGGUCGCGGCGGCGGUGGCCGUUGAGGCUGCGAUGAGGGUGAGCAUGGAGGGCGUGGCAGUGACCGUGAUGGCGGCAACAUGCGCGAGUGCCACAGCCGCGAGAACUAGGUCAUCGACGUUGCCAAGGAGAACGCGUGAACGCUGGCGAGCGCGUCAGACCCAGUCGAGACGAACUGCUUUCCGAUUGAUUUCUCUGAAGGCGAGCUCCACAACUACGCCAGGUCCUACGAGUUCUCGGAGAGGCGCAAGGACACUAUUAGUGCUCUAACGUGGCGACAUGACGGACGCUGAGGCCACCUUCACGGCGAACAUGGAGCAGGUGCUUGCAGGCUGGGACACGACGACGGUGCCCGCGCAGCUCCGCUCGCACUUCGGCAUGCUGGGAGUUCUCACGACGAUGCUUCCACGUGAGGUCAGAGGCUACACUGGCCUCAGCAACGCCUCCUACGGCUUUUCCACGACGGUGUAUCGUAUUCUCUUCGCUGAUGCCGAUCUCUACAGAGCGGUGGACUCCUUGUGGAGCGCGAACUGCUCCUUCGGGGCAUGGCUCGUACACCUACUACCUCGCGCAGAAGCGUGCCGCCUCCCUCUCGCUAAUGGGCCUUCAACAGCUGACGCAUAACAUGUGCUUCAUGUACCCGAACAAGCCAGACACGCUUCCGUUGCCAUUGCCUAUCAGCUGCGCCUACGAGUACCCGCGCAAGUACGACUCGCUAAAGGCAUUGAGGGAGCUUCCCAAGAGUAUGCAUGCCACGAUGCACGACCUUUAAGGCGACGCGAAGCGACGUGCAAGGGUGGGCAAAGGCCGUGACGCACUUGCUUCCAUGGCGGUGUGUGCGUUCACGCCUUGCCCACCCCCGUAAACUUGCCAAGCUUUCACUGUCAUCGGUGACACUCAUUCCUGUUGCACACAAUUUUUUAUCGUAUUCUCUUUUUCAUCGUCUAACGCCUUUUCAUAUCCGCUUUGAAG